UACGGGGGGAGCAAGCGUUGUUCGGAUUUACUGGGCGUAAAGGGCGCGUAGGCGGUCAGCACAAGUCAGUUGUGAAAUCUCCGGGCUUAACUCGGAAAGGUCAACUGAUACUGUGCGACUAGAGUGCGGAAGGGGCAACUGGAAUUCUUGGUGUAGCGGUGAAAUGCGUAGAUAUCAGGAGGAACACCGAUGGCGAAGGCAGCUGCCUGGCCUAACACUGACGCUGAGGUGCGAAAGCGUGGGGAGCGAACGGG
rnacentral:rRNA from 1 species